GACGAACGCUGGCGGCGUGCUUAAUACAUGCAAGUCGAACGGAAAGGCCCUGCUCUUGUGGGUCUCUCGAGUGCGGAACGGGGGAGAGAAACGUGAGUAACCUGCCCUUGACUUUGUGAGAACACCACGAAACUGGGGCUAAUACCGGGUAGGAGCUCCUGCUGCGUGGUGGGGGUUGGAAAGUUACGGUGGUGGGGGAUGGUCUCGCGGCUUACGCGCUGCUUGGGGGGGUAGUGGCUGACCAGGGCUUUGACGGGUAGCCGGCCUGAGAGGGUGACCGGCCUCAUUAGUCCUGAGAUACGCCCCAGACUCCUAUGGGAGGCAGCGGUGGGGAAUAUUACGCAGCAGGCCCGCGUCUGUUGCAGCGACCCCGCGUGCGGAAUGACGUCCUUCGGGUUGUGAACAGCUUUCGCCUUUGCCGUAGCCUUAGUGACGGUACUUAGUAAAGAAGCACCGGCUAACUACGUG
rnacentral:rRNA from 1 species